UGACGUCUGCAAGCACCCUAGUUGCUCUCACGUUCUGAGAUUCCAGGAGCAUGGCAACGAGCAGAGGUCAGUGGACUAGCAGUGAGGUUUGAAUCCCAUCUGGGUACCACGAGGGCUGAGGACAACCAGUUACUGAUUAACAUGAUUUUUUUUCUCUCUCUGUGAAUGUGAGAUAUCGCAAAAGAACAAAGACAAGCACCAUGGAAUUCAGACCCAUGCCCAGUUGUCUGAAGAGAAGGAAUUUCACCUAUGAGUUUGAAAGGCACCAUUUUUACCAGUAUUUUCUACCCACUGAAGCCAGCCUUGUUCUGUACGUUACAGAGGAUGGGAUGGAUACGGCUGGGUUCCAAAGGACCUUCAUCGCAAUCAUGAGGCUGAAUGCCCAGGUUAGAGGCAAACAUCUGAUUCCUGAUACAUGGAAUCCUUCCUGCCAUAUCAGUACACAGAGGACAUCACAGUCCUCAGCGAUUGCAGCCACAGCGGGUGGUGAGCUGGUGAGCACUGAGGAAAUGAACUCAGGAUGUGAAAACGCAGGGUGCUGGCCCCAGAGAGCUGAGGCGAGAAUCAAAGACAUGAUGUCAGUGAGCCCAGACUGUGGUGUCUUCCCAUACAGAUGAAAGCCUUAAAUUCCUUAACUUGA